GACGAACGCUGGCGGCGUGCUUAACACAUGCAAGUCGAACGGAAAGGCCCUGCUUUUGUGGGGUGCUCGAGUGGCGAACGGGUGAGUAACACGUGAGUAACCUGCCCUUGACUUUGGGAUAACUUCAGGAAACUGGGGCUAAUACCGGAUAGGAGCUCCUGCUGCAUGGUGGGGGUUGGAAAGUUUCGGCGGUUGGGGAUGGACUCGCGGCUUAUCAGCUUGUUGGUGGGGUAGUGGCUUACCAAGGCUUUGACGGGUAGCCGGCCUGAGAGGGUGACCGGCCACAUUGGUACUGAAAUACGGCCCAGACUCGUACGGGGGGCAGAAGUGGGGAAUAUUGCACAAUGGGCGGAAGCCUGAUGCAGCAACGCCGCGUGCUGGAUGACGGCCUUCGGGUUGUAAACCGCUUUCGCCUGUGACGAAGCGUGAGUGACGGUAAUGGGUAAAGAAGCACCGGCUAACUACGUG
rnacentral:rRNA from 1 species